rfam:Brachypodium distachyon strain Bd21 chromosome 1, whole genome shotgun sequence.
GUCCUGCUCCCUCCGAUCCAUAUUAAUUGUCAAAAGAUUGUAUGUAUCUAAACGUUUUUUAAAUAUAAAUACAUACAUAUUUAGUCAAAUUUGAAACAAAUAAUAUGGGUCGGAGGGAGUAAUUA